GAUGCACUAUUUGUUGAUCUUAAAUAAUGCUUGAUUACCUGUGAUGUGAUAUUGCUGUGCCUUGUUUGUGUGGAAUUAGGAUGAAGUGGACCACCAUGGAUUUGUGAGGACGGUCUAUGUGAUAUGGAUCCUGAAUAUGAUAUGAUAUGGAGUUUGACCGUCAGCCGGGUACAUGGGAGAUCGGCGCCCCCGUGUGCACCUGAUGAUAUGGAUUAUAUGGAAAACCACAGGAUGGCUUCUUGUUGUUGCGCACCUGAUGAUCUAGAUUUGAUUGUAGCCCGCAGGGUGGCCUCCUGUUGUGAGCACUUGAUGAUCUAGAUUGGAUGGAGACCACCGGGUUGCCUCCUGUUGGCAUUUUUUUUUUUAAAAAAAAGAGAGAGAAUGGAAAAACAAUGAGAGGACUGGUCAGUGAGGAUUAGACCAGUUGGCCGUAUGGGGGAUCGGCUCCCUGGUGCACAUGUAUGAGAGGGCGAGCCAUGUGUGAGGACGGCUCGUUGGGGUUUUAGGUGGUGCCACUGACUAAUUUCCACGUGAUGUGAUUAUAUGAAUGUGAUAAUAAUUGUGGUUGCUGUUGUAUUGCCAUUUGUGUGACACUGCAUGAUCAUAAAUUUAAUCGAUGAACAAAUAAAAAUAUUUUAGCAUCUGUAUGAUUGUGUGGGGUGAGAGGGUUAUCUAACCCUACUCAUUGAGUUUGGCGCUCACCCCUGCCUACCUAUUUUUUUCCAGGUAAUAGAAGAAAGAAAAAUCCUAUGGAGUUGAGACAUAAGUAUAGAAGACUGUAAACAAUAAAUAAAUGAUGAUGUAAAUAUACAGGUAGAGUUCCGCAAUUGUAUUCUAGUGGGUUGUAGAUGAACUGUACUAGUGGUACAUAAUUGAAAUAAAUUAUUAGGCCUGUAUCCACAAUUAUGAAUAGUAAAUGAGAUUUGCAUAAUAUAGGCUUACUACGGGCUUCGGGGGCCUUAAGCCCACCCAGGUCCUAGUGCCGGUUCGGUCCAUGGAAAUGGGUCGUGACAAUUACAUAUUUUGAUAAAAUUUCAGUUUAGCUUCAUCUGACGAAAAUAAUUGAUGUGGAGAUCAAAAUUAUAUUUUAUAUUAUCGUUAUACAAUGUAAGUCUUGAUUUAUUAGAUUAAUAUCAUAGCAUUGCCAAAUUAUAAAAAUAUUUUGUAGUAUGGUAAAAGCAAA
rnacentral:lncRNA from 1 species